GGUCUCGUAGCUCAGUUGGUUAGAGCAUUGGUCUUAUGAGCCGAAGGUCGCGGGUUCAAGCCCCGCCGAGACCA
rnacentral:tRNA from 1 species